AGCAGCCGCGGUAAUUCCAGCUCCGAUAGCGUAUAUUAAAGUUGUUGCAGUUAAAAAGCUCGUAGUUGAAUUUCGGGAUUAGUACGUUGGUCGUGCCUUAGGUACGUACUGGUGUUACUGGUUCCUACCUUCUGACGAACCAUCAUGUCAUUAAUUUGGUGUGGCGGGGAAUCAGGACUGUUACUUUAGAAAAAAUUGAGUGUUUAAAGCAGGCUCGCGCUUGAAUACAUUAGCAUGGAAUAAUGAAAG
rnacentral:rRNA from 1 species